UAUGAAGGUCAGGCUGAAGACCUUACCCGAUUAGCUGAGAGGUGGUGCAUGGCCGUCGUCAGUUCGUACUGUGAAGCAUCCUGUUAAGUCAGGCAACGAGCGAGACCUACGUCCACAGUUGCCAGCAUACCCUCCGGGGUGAUGGGUACACUGUGGAGACCGCCGCUGCUAAAGCGGAGGAAGGAGUGGGCAACGGUAGGUCAGUAUGCCCCGAAUCUCCCGGGCUACACGCGGGCUACAGUGGUUGGUACAAUGGGCAUCUACCCCGAAAGGGGAAGGAAAUCUCUUAAAGCCAAUCGUAGUUCGGAUUGAGGGCUGCAACUCGCCCUCAUGAAGCUGGAAUCCGUAGUAAUCGCGUUUCAACAGAACGCGGUGAAUACGUCCCUGCUCCUU
rnacentral:rRNA from 1 species